rnacentral:rRNA from 1 species
AGAGUUUGAUCCUGGCUCAGAACGAACGUUGGCGGCGUGGAUUAGUCAUGCAAGUCGUGGGAAUCCCAGCAAUGGGGGAACCGGCGUAAGGGGCAGUAAGGCAUGGGUACCUACCCGGGGGUUGGGCAUAGCCCGUAGAAAUACGGGGUAAUUCCCAGCGAUGUCGCAAGACCAAAGCUCCGGCGCCCCCGGAGGGGCCCAUGUGGUAUUAGCUAGUUGGUGAGGUAACGGCUCACCAAGGCGAAGAUGCCUAGCGGGUGUGAGAGCACGACCCGCGCCACUGGCACUGAGACACUGGCCAGACACCUACGGGUGGCUGCAGUCGAGGAUCUGUGGAAAUGGGGGCAACCCUGACCGAGCGACGCCGCGUGCGCGAUGAAGGCCUUCGGGUUGUAAAGCGCUGUCGAGGGGGAGAAAAGCCGAAAGGCGUGAUCUAUCCCUGGAGGAAGCACGGGCUAAGUUCGUGCCAGCCGCCGCGGUAAUUC